AGAAGGAACGUGACUUCCACGAGGCAGCCGCCGGGCUGGCGGGCCCCACGUUCAGGGUUGUGUCUCGGCUGAAAAAAAGGCACGCCCGAACGCUGGGCAGGGAUUACCCGGCCGGACCCGGGAUUGGAAGGGGGCUCGAAGACGCCUUAGCCCCCCGUGAAGAAAAGGCUUCCCUCCCUCCCAGCUCCAAAUACGGUCCCUGUGAUCUGAGAACAUUACGGCGGGCAUAGAGUCGUCUUUUCUUUAAUGGCCGUGUAGUCGCGGCACAGCCGAGGGUUUCUGGAAUUGCCUUAAACCGUCUACUAUCGGCUGGGGAUGGAAUAGUUCGCGAGUCAGUUUCUGCCUUCUGAUGGAGGCAGAAAUUUAAACAGCCAACACGGUAAAUACUCCAGAGCUGCAAAACCACGAAGUAUUUUGGGAGUGGAAGCAGGGAGAAGGUGGAGGGCUGACUUUCCGCGCACAGGGUACAGGCGAGAAGAGGUGAGAUCUCGGGAAAUGCAGUCAAGUAGUUCAGUAAGACUCGAAUGUGACAUUGGGUUGCAGAGGUGGGCAGUCACUUAGGUAUAUUUAAUUGGAAAUAUAUCCUGAGGGGAAGAGUGAGAAGAGCAAUUUUAGAGUCAUAAGUAGGGAGGGGCAUCUUUUUAAAAAUGGCUGCGGAGUGGAGAAUGGGUUGCAGAGGGGCAAGGAAUGGAAGUAGAGAAAGCAGUUAGGAG
rnacentral:lncRNA from 10 species